UACGUAGGGGGCAAGCGUUGUCCGGAUUUAUUGGGCGUAAAGAGCGUGUAGGCGGCUUUACAGGUCCGUUGUGAAAACUCGAGGCUCAACCUCGAGACGCCGGUGGAAACCGUAAAGCUAGAGUCCGGAAGAGGAGAAUGGAAUUCCCGGUGUAGCGGUGAAAUGCGCAGAUAUCGGGAAGAACACCCGUGGCGAAGGCGGUUCUCUGGGACGGUACUGACGCUGAGACGCGAAAGCGUGGGGAGCGAACAGG
rnacentral:rRNA from 1 species